ACAGGGAUUGCCCUAGUAACGGCGAGUGAAGCGGCAACAGCUCAAAUUUGAAAUCUGGCGUCUUCGGCGUCCGAGUUGUAAUUUGCAGAGGGCGCUUUGGCAUUGGCAGCGGUCCAAGUUCCUUGGAACAGGACGUCACAGAGGGUGAGAAUCCCGUACGUGGUCGCUAGCCUUUACCGUGUAAAGCCCCUUCGACGAGUCGAGUUGUUUGGGAAUGCAGCUCUAAAUGGGAGGUAAAUUUCUUCUAAAGCUAAAUACUGGCCAGAGACCGAUAGCGCACAAGUAGAGUGAUCGAAAGAUGAAAAGCACUUUGGAAAGAGAGUUAAAAAGCACGUGAAAUUGUUGAAAGGGAAGCGCUUGCAGCCAGACUUGCCUGUAGUUGCUCAUCCGGGUUUCUACCCGGUGCACUCUUCUACGGGCAGGCCAGCAUCAGUUUGGGCGGUUGGAUAAAGGUCUCUGUCAUGUACCUCCCUUCGGGGAGAUCUUAUAGGGGAGACGACAUGCAACCAGCCUGGACUGAGGUCCGCGCAUCUGCUAGGAUGCUGGCGUAAUGGCUGUAAGCGGCCCGUCUUGAAACACGGACCAAGGAGUCUAACAUCUAUGCGAGUGUUUGGGUGUCAAGCCCGAGCGCGUAAUGAAAGUGAACGGAGGUGGGAACCUUUCGGGGUGCACCAUCGACCGAUCCUGAUGUCUUCGGAUGGAUUUGAGUAAGAGCAUAGCUGUUGGGACCCGAAAGAUGGUGAACUAUGCUUGAAUAGGGUGAAGCCAGAGGAAACUCUGGUGGAGGCUCGCAGCGGUUCUGACGUGCAAAUCGAUCGUCAAAUUUGGGCAUAGGGGCGAAAGACUAAUCGAACUAUCUAGUAGCUGGUUCCUGCCGAAGUUUCCCUCAGGAUAGCAGUAACGUUUUCAGUUUUAUGAGUAAAGCGAAUGAUUAGAGGCCUGGGGGUUGAAACAACCUU
rnacentral:rRNA from 1 species